rnacentral:rRNA from 1 species
GACGAACGCUGGCGGCGUGCUUAACACAUGCAAGUCGAACGGAAAGGCCCUGCUUUUGUGGGGGGCUCGAGUGGCGAACGGGUGAAUAACACGUGAGUAACCUGCCCUUGAUUUUGGGAUAACUUCAGGAAACUGGGGCUAAUACCGGAUAUGAGCUCCUGCUGCAUGGUGGGGGUUGGAAAGUUUCGGCGGUUGGGGAUGGACUCGCGGCUUAUCAGCUUGUUGGUGGGGUAGUGGCUUACCAAGUCGUUGACGGGUAGCCGGCCUGAGAGGGUGACCGGCCACAUUGGGACUGAGAUUCGGCCCAGACUCCUACGGGAGGCAGCAGUGGGGAAUAUUGCACAGUGGGCGGAAGCCUGAUGCAGCAACGCCGCGUGCGGGAUGACGGCCUUCGGGUUGUAAACCGCUUUCGCCUGUGACGAAGCGUGAGUGACGGUAAUGGGUAAAGAAGCACCGGCUAACUACGUG